UACGUAGGGGGCUAGCGUUGUCCGGAAUCAUUGGGCGUAAAGCGCGUGUAGGCGGUCCGGUAAGUCCGCUGUGAAAGUCGGGGGCUCAACCCUCGAAUGCCGGUGGAUACUGUCGGGCUAGAGUGCGGAAGAGGCGAGUGGAAUUCCUGGUGUAGCGGUGAAAUGCGCAGAGUAUCAGGAGGAACACCGAUGGCGAAGGCAGGUCUCUGGGCCACUACUGACGCUGAGAAGCGAAAGCAUGGGGAGCGAACAGG
rnacentral:rRNA from 1 species